GCGGUCGGCUCUAUCAGCGCCACCUAGUGGAGUGGAGAAGGAGAGAGUUAGAUUGGCUAAAAACAACAACAUAAAUUCCCUUUUCCAGCAGUGUUUCUAUAUUUUAUAUCUUGCCAUCCCAAGAAGAUAUAGAAUAUAUAUAUAUAUAUAUAUAUAUAUAUAUGGGUAUAGAAUAUUGUCAAAAUACAAUUUCCAUGAUUUCCUUAACAUCUUCUAUAUGUGCAUUAUGUGUGCAUAUGACUUAAGACAACGUUAGUAGUGUUGAUUUCAUUAAAACAUACAUUAAACCUUACGGUCCACAUAUAUACUGUAUAAACUGUCCUAUCCACCUACCUCGUGUAUAGUAUCUGUGACAUAAAAACAUUUAUUCCAGCAUCCUUUGCACUCUGCACUAUUGUCUACAAGUGUUAUUGUAUAUAUAUUAUAUCUGCACAUAGCAGUGUAUGUUUACCUUCUCAAGCUUGUUGUCUUUUUCGGCUGUGUCUCAGAAGGCAGACUGAGUAGAAGGUUGGUGGUUUGAUCCCAAGCUCCUCCGGCUCAAUGCCGAAGUUUCCUCGGGAAAGAUGUCGUACUCCAAAUUGCUCCUCAUGCUGUGCCAUCAGUGUAUGAAUGAGUUAGGUUCUGUAUGUGAUGGCCUUUGUCAUCACUGUAUGAAUGUGUGUGAGUGGGUGAAUGUGACAUGUGUAACAGCGUUUUAAGUGUUCAGAAGACCAUUUACCAUUCACUGUAUGUAUGCCUAUUUCUGUGUACAAUGAGAGCAACAUGAAACCGGAGUCACACACUUACCUGGCCAACAGAAGUGAUUCUGAUAUUGAAAAUAUCAACUAAGAACAUUUUGACAUCAUCAGUGAAGUUUGAAAAAAUAACAAAAAGCAUAGUUCCUCUCACCCAUCAAGACCCUCCCAGGUUCAUCCCUCCCUCCCUACCAUAGGCCGUAUACUGUAUGAGACUAUUUCCUCGAGUUACAUGGAAGUGGAAGAUGACUCACCAUUCCAGCUAUUAAGACCAUUUUAAUGAAUCAUGCUUUUUGGCGUGUAUCUCAUAGAAAUACUGAUGUGUCCCUGCGCUGUAUUAACCCUGUGAUAGUCUUGGUUGUGUCCCUAAUAAAUCCCCAAUAGAUGUGUAUAUAGGUCACUGUUUUACCCCCUGGCCACAUUUCUGUAAUAUUGUUGUUCAUCCUGUGAAGUCCCUCUAGUGUAAAUAGGUACUAUGAAUGGUAUUCAUCAUAUUGUAAUAAUAAAUAAAUAAUAAAAAAUGGAGCCUC